UCACGAAAUAUUGCAACACCAUACAUCUUAUAAUUCGCAAUCGGGGACCCGUAUUCUAGGAAACGGGAAUAAACGCAGGAAAGCAAGCGAAAGCUGCCCUACUUGCUGAAAGGCCAAACACAACCAAGGUUAGGGCACCUUUUUCGAAUAAUUUAUAAACAAAAACCGUGCGACAUUGCGUUUGUAUUUAUACAAGAAUGGAAACAUGUCG